CCUACGGGAGGCAGCAGUGGGGAAUAUUGCACAAUGGGGGAAACCCUGAUGCAGCGACGCCGCGUGAGUGAAGAAGUAAUUCGUUAUGUAAAGCUCUAUCAGCAGGGAAGAAAAUGACGGUACCUGAGUAAGAAGCCCCGGCUAACUACGUGCCAGCAGCCGCGGUAAUACGGAGGGGGCAAGCGUUAUCCGGAUUUACGGGGUGGAAAGGGAGCGUAGACGGCAGUGCAAGUCUGGAGUGAAAGGCGGGGGCUCAACCCCCGGACUGCUCUGGAAACUGUACGGCUGGAGUGCAGGAGAGGUGAGUGGAAUUCCUAGUGUAGCGGUGAAAUGCGUAGAUAUUAGGAGGAACACCAGUGGCGAAGGCGGCUUACUGGACUGUAACUGACGUUGAGGCUCGAAAGCGUGGGGAGCAAACAGGAUUAGAUACCCCUGUAGUC
rnacentral:rRNA from 1 species